rnacentral:rRNA from 1 species
UACGUAGGGGGCAAGCGUUGUCCGGAUUUAUUGGGCGUAAAGAGCGUGUAGGCGGUCCAGGUAGGUCCGUUGUGAAACUCGAGGCUCAACCUCGAGACGCCGAUGGAAACCAUCUGACUAGAGUCCGGAAGAGGAGAGUGGAAUUCCUGGUGUAGCGGUGAAAUGCGCAGAUAUCAGGAAGAACACCCGUGGCUAAGGCGGCUCUCUAGUACGGUACUGACGCUGAGACGCGAAAGCGUGGGGAGCGAACAGG